UAGCUGCACGGAGUCCACUCCCGGCCAGUGCGGGGAGCCCCUCGCAGUGCGCUGAAAUCUGUGUCCCUGGGACUCUGAUGAAGCCACAGAUAGAAGGUUAAGUUUCACGGGCGAGUCCCGCUCAAAUUUGGGAGGUUGUGUGUGUGUUUGCUGGGUGUGGAGCUGCUGUUCACCAGAUGAUUUUGUGAUAGGCUGAAAAAUGGCCCCCCAGAGAUAUCUGGGCCAAAGAUACAGUCUCUGGAACUUGUAAAUGUUACCUUAUUUGGAGAAAAAUGCCUUUGUGGAUGUAGUUCAGGACCUUGAGAUGACCAGAUCAUCCUGAAUUACCCGGGUGGGUCCUAAAUGCUAUCACAAAUGUCCUUGUAAGAGGGAGGCAGAGGGAGGUUUGACUCACGGAAGAGGAGGUGAUAUGAAGAUGGAGGGGAGAUUGACGUGCCCAGGAGCCAGGAACUGGCAGCAGCCACCAAAACCCGCAAGAGGGAAGGAAUGGAUUCUCCCUUAGAGCCUCUGCGGAGGGUAGUCCCGGCCAUACCUCGGCUUUGGCCCAGUGAAACUGACUCCGGACUUCCUUCCUCCAGAAUUGCGAGAGAAUGCGUUUGUUGUCUUAAGCCGCAAGCUGUGGUAAUGGGCACAGCAGCCAGAGGAAACUGGUACAGAUUUCUGGGCACCCUUGCGUUCCUCCUGCUUAGCUGCUUAUCUCUGUUGCGACAGGACGGCAUCAUUUAAUCUGCCAGCCAAAUACACUGUGCCCCCCCCUUUCAGAAUACCCAGGAUGCAUUUCCCAGUGGGCUCUUAGGGUUAUCGUGAGGGCGAAGUGAGUUAACGAUUAUAAAGCCCCUAAAACAGUGCCUGGCGCAAAGUCAAUGGUAUAUAUAAACUCUUCUUAAGUAGGAAUGAAUAACUGUAAUCCUGUUUGGGUACUGAGGUUCUUGCUUUUGCAGCGUAUUUCCUCUACUGGCUUAGCCAGAGAACGCUAUAAUUUAGUCUUGGGUUACUAACUCUCCCUGCAGAAUGAGUCGCCAGCUUUGGAAAUAAGGUUAUAUCGGAAAGGUACAACACAUCUCUUAAGGAUCGCAGCAAUUCUGAGGAAAGAAUACAAUACAACGCUCAUUUUCUUCUGCAGCUUCUUCCUUGGAGGCAGAGGACUAAUAUUUAAUCUGGUUCUAGUCAUUUGAGUUCCCUAUUGAUUUAAAACUCUGUUGUUCUCUAUUCCUAACUGUAUUUGAAGACCAUUGUCCUUUUUCUUAACAAGGUAAGAAUGACUGCAGUACCCCCCAUUAGACUAGGGGUGGAGACUAAUAUAGAUCCAGGGAUCCACCCUUAGGCUAGGUAGUAGUGACCAAGAUAGACCCAGGGACCCACCAUUCGACUAGGUGUGGAGACUAAUAUAGACCCAGGGAUCCCCUGUUAGACUGGGAGUGGAGACCAGGUUUUAGUCCCAGUUCUAUCACUAUAUGCUUCUGUGACCAUGAGCGUAUCCCUGAACCAUUCUGAGCUUCAGUUUCUUCAUAUAAGACUGAUUUUAAAAAUAUCUUCAGCUUUUCUGACUGAUGUUUGCCUUGUUUUGUUGUAAAUACCUAAAAAUAUGCUUUCUUUGGCUCUCAUGUACACCGUGACGUUUUCUUCCCGAUUUAGUUCAAAGGCUUCAAACACUGUGAUGGAAAAUCUUCCAACAGAAGACCACUUGUCCGUUUUCUCUGUGCCUUAUUCAUCUAUAUUGUGCUCUCAUAAAUUGAGUAUUUUUUCUCCUGGUUCUUGGCUGUGUUGAAAACUCGAGAGUCAGCAGUGGGCUGUCUGUGUAGCCACUGUGACGGUAACUGACCCGUGAUCUUAAGGUAGCUUUUCUAGGAUGGCUUGGGUGCAUAUGCUUUUUCAAAAAAAGUGUGGAUAAAAGUAA